GUGCAGCAGUCGAGAAACCUCCGCAAUGCUCGAAAGAGCGACGGGGGGACUCCAAGUGCCUACGCUUUGCGUAGGCUUUUCCCAAGCCUAAAAAGCUUGGGGAAUAAGGGCUGGGUAAGACGGGUGCCAGCCGCCGCGGUAAUACCCGCAGCCCGAGUGGUGGCCGCUUUUAUUGGGCCUAAAGCGUCCGUAGCCGGUCUGGUAAAUGCCUGGGUAAAUCGUCUGGCUCAACCAGACGAAUUCCGGGUAGACUGCCAGACUAGGGACCGGAGGAAGGAGAGGGUACUCCGGGGGUAGGGGUGAAAUCAGCAAGGUGAGUUGUUGAUGUAACUUGCCUUGCAAGUCACAAUCCUGUAAUCCUCGGAGGACCACCGGUGGCGAAGGCUCUCUCCUAGGACGGGUCCGACGGUGAGGGACGAAAGCCAGGGGAGCAAACCGGAUUAGAUACCCGGGUAGU
rnacentral:rRNA from 1 species